rnacentral:rRNA from 1 species
AAACUGCGAAUGGCUCAUUAAAUCAGUUAUCGUUUAUUUGAUAGUACCUUACUACUUGGAUAACCGUGGUAAUUCUAGAGCUAAUACAUGCUAAAAACCCCGACUUCGGAAGGGGUGUAUUUAUUAGAUAAAAAACCAAUGCCCUUCGGGGCUCCUUGGUGAAUCAUGAUAACUUAACGAAUCGCAUGGCCUUGCGCCGGCGAUGGUUCAUUCAAAUUUCUGCCCUAUCAACUUUCGAUGGUAGGAUAGUGGCCUACCAUGGUAGCAACGGGUAACGGGGAAUUAGGGUUCUAUUCCGGAGAGGGAGCCUGAGAAACGGCUACCACAUCCAAGGAAGGCAGCAGGCGCGCAAAUUACCCAAUCCCGACACGGGGAGGUAGUGACAAUAAAUACUGAUACAGGGCUCUUUCGAGUCUUGUAAUUGGAAUGAGUACAAUUUAAAUACCUUAACGAGGAACAAUUGGAGGGCAAGUCUGGUGCCAGCAGCCGCGGUAAUUCCAGCUCCAAUAGCGUAUAUUAAAGUUGUUGCAGUUAAAAAGCUCGUAGUUGAACCUUGGGCCUGGCUGGCCGGUCCGCCUCACCGCGUGUACUGGUCCGGCCGGGCCUUUCCUUCUGGGGAUCCGCAUGCCCUUCACUGGGUGUGCCGGGGAACCAGGACUUUUACUUUGAAAAAAUUAGAGUGUUCAAAGCAGGCCUUUGCUCGAAUACAUUAGCAUGGAAUAAUAGAAUAGGACGUGCGGUCCUAUUUUGUUGGUUUCUAGGACCGCCGUAAUGAUUAAUAGGGAUAGUCGGGGGCAUCAGUAUUCAAUUGUCAGAGGUGAAAUUCUUGGAUUUAUUGAAGACUAACUACUGCGAAAGCAUUUGCCAAGGAUGUUUUCAUUAAUCAGUGAACGAAAGUUAGGGGAUCGAAGACGAUCAGAUACCGUCGUAGUCUUAACCGUAAACUAUGCCGACUAGGGAUCGGGCGAUGUUAUUAUUUUGACUCGCUCGGCACCUUACGAGAAAUCAAAGUCUUUGGGUCUG